ACGUAGGCAAUCUGCCUCGAGGUGGUGGAUAACCCUCCGAAGAGGGCUAAUACAGCAUGAGACCACGUCGUCGAAAGACGAUGCGGCCAAAGCCGGCCUCUUCAUGAAAGCUGGCGCCACGAGAUGAGCCUGCGGCCCAUCAGCUAGUUGGUAGGGUAACGGCCUACCAAGGCAAAAGACGGGUAGCUGGUCUGAGAGGAUGAUCAGCCACACUGGAACUGAGACACGGUCCAGACUCCUACGGGAGGCAGCAGUGGGGAAUCUUGCGCAAUGGGCGAAAGCCUGACGCAGCGACGCCGCGUGAGCGAUGAAGGCCUUCGGGUUGUAAAGCUCUGUGGAGGGGGACGAAUAAGGGCACGCUAAUACCGUGUUUGAUGACGGUACCCCUUUAGCAAGCACCGGCUAACUCUGUGCCAGCAGCCGCGGUAAGACAGAGGGUGCAAACGUUGUUCGGAAUUACUGGGCGUAAAGCGCGUGUAGGCUGUUCGGAAAGUCGGAUGUGAAAGCCCCC
rnacentral:rRNA from 1 species